UACGUAGGUGGCAAGCGUUGUCCGGAAUAACUGGGCGUAAAGCGCAUGUAGACGGCAUGAUAAGCCAAAUGUGAAAUGUAGGGGCUCAACCCCUGCACUGCGAUUGGAACUGUCAAGCUUGAGUGCAGGAGAGGCAAGUGGAAUUCCCAGUGUAGCAGUGAAAUGCGUAGAGAUUGGGAGGAACACCAGUGGCGAAGGCGAUUUGCUGGACUGCAACUGACGUUGAGAUGCGAAAGCUAGGGGAGCAAACGGGAUUAGAUACCCCGGUAGUCCUAGCCGUAAACGAUGGAUACUAGGUGUAGAGGGUAUCGACCCCUUCUGUGCCGCAGCGAACGCAAUAAGUAUCCCGCCUGGGGAGUACGGUCGCAAGACUGAAACUCAAAGGAAUUGACGGGGGCCCGCACAAGCAGUGGAGCAUGUGGUUUAAUUCGACGCAACCCGAAGAACCUUACCAGGUCUUGACAUUUAUGGAACGAGGUAGAGAUACCUUGGUGCCCUUUCGGGGGAACCAUAAAACAGGUGGUGCAUGGUUGUCGUCAGCUCGUGUCGUGAGAUGUUGGGUUAAGUCCCGCAACGAGCGCAACCCUUGAUAAUAGUUGCCAGCAAGUAGUGUUGGGCACUCUAUUGUGACUGCCGUAGAUAAUACGGAGGAAGGUGGGGAUGACGUCAAAUCAUCAUGCCCUAUAUGACCUGGGCUACACACGUGCUACAAUGGGGUGAACAACGGGAAGCAAGCCAGCGAUGGUAAGCGGACCCCUAAAAACACCUCUCAGUUCAGAUUGCAGGCUGCAACCCGCCUGCAUGAAGUCGGAAUUGCUAGUAAUCGCGGAUCAGCAUGCCGCGGUGAAUACGUUCCCGGGCCUUGUACACACCGCCCGUCACACCACGAAAGUUGGCAACACCCGAAGUCGGUGAGGUA
rnacentral:rRNA from 1 species